CCUCCGAAGAAGCCUCCUCUCCGCAGCCCGAAAACCCGAGCGUGAGCAGUUCGGCCCUCUCAAGCCGGGAGAAAGAGAAGCAGUUCCUGAGGCUGCUGAGGCGUGAGGUGAGUGUGGGAGAUCCAGAGAAGAAGUACACUGGAUGGAGACCUAUUGGCAGUGGGGGGUUUGGAACCGUUUAUAAGGCCUUCAACGCUGCCACAGGACGAGCGGUAAGUGCCAACAGCCCAUUCAGAUUUUGCAGCCCUUGAGUGCUUUCCCUUGUGAUGUGAUCCGUGGCCAAAGCUUUGGGCCGCCUGACUCUUUGCUGCAAAGGCUGUCCCACAGAAGCAGCCUGUCCAGAGGCAGGCUGCAAAAUGCAUUUGGGACAGACUU